GACGAACGCUGGCGGCGUGCUUAACACAUGCAAGUCGAACGGAAAGGCCCUGCUUUUGUGGGGUGCUCGAGUGGCGAACGGGUGAGUAACACGUGAGUAACCUGCCCUUAACUUUGGGAUAACUUCAGGAAACUGGGGCUAAUACCGGAUAGGAGCUCCUGCUGCAUGGUGGGGGUUGGAAAGUUUCGGCGGUUGGGGAUGGACUCGCGGCUUAUCAGCUUGUUGGUGGGGUAGUGGCUUACCAAGGCUUUGACGGGUAGCCGGCCUGAGAGGGUGAUCGGCCACAUUGGGACUGAGAUACGGCCCAGACUCCUACGGGAGGCAGCAGUGGGGAAUAUUGCACAAUGGGCGGAAGCCUGAUGCAGCAACGCCGCGUGCGGGAUGACGGCCUUCGGGUUGUAAACCGCUUUCGCCUGUGACGAAGCGUGAGUGACGGUAAUGGGUAAAGAAGCACCGGCUAACUACGUG
rnacentral:rRNA from 1 species